rnacentral:rRNA from 1 species
UACGUAGGGGCAAGCGUUAUCCGGAUUUACUGGGUGUAAAGGGAGCGUAGGUGGCAUGGUAAGCCAGAAGUGAAAACCCGGGGCUCAACCCCGCGGAUUGCUUUUGGAACUAUCAGGCUGGAGUGCUGGAGGGGUAAGCGGAAUUCCUAGUGUAGCGGUGAAAUGCGUAGAUAUUAGGAGGAACACCGGUGGCGAAGGCGGCUUACUGGACAGAAACUGACACUGAGGCUCGAAAGCGUGGGGAGCAAACAGG